rnacentral:rRNA from 1 species
UACGAAGGGGGGCUAGCGUUGCUCGGAAUUACUGGGCGUAAAGGGUGCGUAGGCGGUUGUUUAAGUUUGGUGUGAAAUCUCCCGGCUCAACUGGGGAGGGUGCGCCGAAUACUGAAUGACUAGAGUGCGGGAGAGGAGAGUGGAAUUCCAGGUGUAGCGGUGAAAUGCGUAGAUAUCUGGAGGAAUACCGGUGGCGAAGGCGGCAUCCUGGACCGACAUUGACGCUGAACGGCGAAAGCUAGGGGAGCAAACGGG